ACUCAGAAUAGCACAGCCCACACCACCCUCAGAAGUCAGAGCCUCUGGGCAGUUUUGCAUUCAGACAGCUCACUGAGCUUACCUCAUUCUAAAGUCCUUGGCCAUGGUCAGAGGGCUAAUUUCCUUGCCGGGCACCUCAGCCUACACAACUGAACAGUUGCCUGAAAAAACAGCCUUGGUGCCUUCUGCACGGCAUAGCCACUGCCAGCAGCACGGGCAGGGCUGGCCACAGUCCUGGGACCAAAGCAUCGAGCCCCCUAAAGGAGACCCUGGGCAUCAGCCACGGGAAACACAGAGGGGAGGAAAGACGAUAAGCAAAGAGGGGUGAUCCCAAAGGCCCUGCAGUGGUCGGUUUUCUGUCCCAAGAUGGGACAAAGUGGAGCAAUACACAGCAGCAGGCAGCCCCCAAGCACUGGGACCAGCGAUGAAUAAUGAAAUUUUUUGGCUUUGGAGUGCUCAUAGCUCCACAAGGGACUGAGUUUUGUUUCUUAUUGCAGGCUUGCAAGAUAGGAUCAGCCUUCCCCUCCCAUCUCGGCCCCACAGGAACAGCACACUGGGUGGCUGGGAGCUGGCUGCUGCUCUCUGGUCUGGGAGAAGAUUUACAGGAGCUGCUCAAAGAACAACAUCCUUUUAAGCUGAGAGAGAGCAAAUACUUUUGCUAUAGGGCAAGGAAACCUGCACGCACCCUCCUUGGAAAAUGAGGCACACUAUGCCUCCUUGAAAGAUCCGGAACAGAUAACAGCCCUGCCAGACAAGUAUUUUUCAUUUUCCCAUUAUCAGAUGGUGGGAAGGCCACACCAUUCCUCCUAGCAGCAGGCCUGCUCGCCCCACCCAGACCGUGCCUCCAAAAAGCAACAGAGCUCCUGGGGCCACAAGCGGUGGAGAGAAGGAUGAAGCUCUUGGUGUUUGAAUCAGCAGGAAAGCAAAGCCGGUGUUUGCAACACAAAAGCUCAGCAGUGCUGUUCUGAGUAAGAGCAGUAUCGUCCAGGAAAUGGCUGAACACGGGAUUGAUCCCAUCGAGGUGCAGUGCCCAACAAACAGGAGAGCAUCACCUGGGCUUCCUCCAGGAUGGCAGAGAAAGAUGCCUCUCCCUAGAGAACAAUUCAUCUCAGCUCCUUGGAAUAAAGUGCCUAACUUUAGCA
rnacentral:lncRNA from 1 species